GGGGUUUCAGCUUGUAUACAUCAUACUUAAAUUUUAUUGGACGUUAUGUUUGAGGUUCAGGACACUAAAUUUUAAAACAUCACAUGACAAAUAUUCUCACAUGUUUCCUUACCUGUAAAUAUACAAUACAGUCAGGAUUCUACUUCGUCAAAAUAAUCUCCCCAUUACGGCAGUUCAUUUUCACAAUCGUAGAAAUGGAAACCAAUUUUUUUUUCGAACAUAUGCAUUUUCAUCAUCCGCCAACUUAAAGAUUGUCGUCAAAUACUUUUAGUAAAAUAGCUAUUCGAACACACCUACUCUGAUUUUGUGAUUCAUUGGAUAGGUAUUUCACUUGACCCCUACAUUUCAUCUUUUAGUAUUGUGAUUUUUUUAUGUUAUAAAGUCAACCUGUAGCUUUGCUAUAUAAAAAUGAUAGAAUCUGAAGCGAGAUGAUGUAUCAAAUACUCUUCCUUUGUACGUUUUCAAGACAAAAUAUUCAUCUCAAACACACCCUAACAUAAAAAAAGGUGCACUCGAUUUUCUCUUUUCGAUACAAUUGUUACCCAUUUAUGGGAUUUUUUUUUGAGUUA
rnacentral:lncRNA from 1 species